CACAACCCAACAGCCGAGACACCGGCAUCACCAUUCUCCCCACCGAUGCUCCACCGCCCCCGUCGCUGCCCACUCCUCAACGGUGUCGGCCGCAUCCUGGGCCACCCCUUAUCGACGUCCACUCUGUCUGCACCCCAAACUCCGAUGAUGUGGCAGACGUCUGCCAUGAGGAACAGAUCAUGCACCACCUCACCGGCCAUUGCAA
rnacentral:lncRNA from 1 species